rnacentral:rRNA from 1 species
ACCUAAUAGAUACCCCGGUACGUCCACGCCCUAAACGAUGCGAACUGGAUGUUGGGUACAUUACGGUACUCAGUGUCGAAAGCUAAACGCGUUAAGUUCGCCGCCUGGGGAGUACGGUCGCAAGACUGAAACUCAAAGGAAUUGACGGGGGCCCGGCACAAGCGGUGGAGUAUGUGGUUUAAUUCGAUGCAACGCGAAGAACCUUACCUCGGCCUUGACAUCUGUCGAAUCCUGCAGAGAUGCGGGAGUGCCGCAAGGAACGACAAGACAGGUGCUGCAUGGCUGUCGUCAGCUCGUGUCGUGAGAUGUUGGG